rnacentral:rRNA from 1 species
GAUGAACGCUGGCGGCGUGCUUAACACAUGCAAGUCGAACGGUGAAAGCGGAGCUUGCUCUGCUGGAUCAGUGGCGAACAGGUGAGUAACACGUGAGCAAUCUGCCCGUGACUCUGGGAUAAGCGCUGGAAACGGCGUCUAAUACCGGAUACGAGCUGCGAAGGCAUCUUCAGCAGCUGGAAAGAACUUCGGUCAAGGAUGAGCUCGCGGCCUAUCAGCUUGUUGGUGAGGUAACGGCUCACCAAGGCGUCGACGGGUAGCCGGCCUGAGAGGGUGACCGGCCACACUGGGACUGAGACACGGCCCAG